AUGAAACUCGAUUGUGUAUUUUUUUACGUUUUUAUAACAAGUAUUAGUUCCAAUAAAAUUUUACAAGUUCUUUUUGUACAAGUAGGGGAGAAAUCUCCGUAUAUUCAAACUUAAAGGCAUGUCAGAUAUCGUGGCAUAUACUGUGGAUAGUGCUUUAGAAGGUUUAGGGUUUCUUCACUAGCGAACGGGAGUGUCUCCCAACAAAAUAACAAAUCUGUCCAUCCGUGCAUCCAGCAUCGACACGCGACCGUUGAUUCUGAAGCGCUAAAGUGGAACAGGUAUAGUUCCUACGAAAUGAGUU